rnacentral:rRNA from 1 species
UACAGAGGAUGCAAGCGUUAUCCGGAAUGAUUGGGCGUAAAGCGUCCGCAGGUGGCAGUUCAAGUCUGCUGUCAAAGACCGGGGCUUAACUUCGGAAAGGCAGUGGAAACUGAACAGCUAGAGUAUGGUAGGGGCAGAGGGAAUUCCUGGUGUAGCGGUGAAAUGCGUAGAGAUCAGGAAGAACAUCGGUGGCGAAGGCGCUCUGCUGGACCAUAACUGACACUCAGGGACGAAAGCUAGGGGAGCGAAUGCG